rnacentral:rRNA from 1 species
AGCGAACGCUGGCGGCAGGCCUAACACAUGCAAGUCGAGCGCCCAGUAAUGGGAGCGGCAGACGGGUGAGUAACGCGUGGGGAUCUGCCCGAUGGUACGGAAUAAUUCCGGGAAACUGGGACUAAUACCGUAUGUGCCCGCAAGGGGAAAGAUUUAUCGCCAUCGGAUGAACCCGCGUCGGAUUAGCUAGUUGGUGUGGUAAAGGCGCACCAAGGCGACGAUCCGUAGCUGGUCUGAGAGGAUGAUCAGCCACACUGGGACUGAGACACGGCCCAGACCCCUACGGGAGGCAGCAGUGGGGAAUAUUGGACAAUGGGCGCAAGCCUGAUCCAGCCAUGCCGCGUGAGUGAUGAAGGCCUUAGGGUUGUAAAGCUCUUUCGCCGGUGAAGAUAAUGACGGUAACCGGAGAAGAAGCCCCGGCUAACUUCGUGCCAGCCGCCGCCGUAAGAC